rnacentral:rRNA from 1 species
GACAGAGGAUGCAAGCGUUAUCCGGAAUGAUUGGGCGUAAAGCGUCUGUAGGUGGCUUUUUAAGUCUGCCGUCAAAUCCCAGGGCUUAACCCUGGACAGGCGGUGGAAACUACCAAGCUAGAGUACGGUAGGGGCAGGGGGAAUUUCCGGUGGAGCGGUGAAAUGCGUAGAGAUCGGAAAGAACACCAACGGCGAAAGCACUCUGCUGGGCCGACACUGACACUGAGAGACGAAAGCUAGGGGAGCGAAUGGG